rnacentral:rRNA from 1 species
CACGUAGGGGGCGAGCGUUGUCCGGAUUUAUUGGGCGUAAAGAGCGCGUAGGCGGCUCAGUAAGUCAGGUGUGAAAACUCCAGGCUCAACCUGGAGACGCCACCUGAUACUGCUGUGGCUAGAGUCCGGUAGGGGAGCAUGGAAUUCCUGGUGUAGCGGUGAAAUGCGCAGAUAUCAGGAGGAACACCAGUGGCGAAGGCGGUGCUCUGGGCCGGAACUGACGCUGAGGAGCGAAAGCGUGGGGAGCAAACAGG